CGGCGACAGAUGUAAUAAGGGAUUGGCCGCAAUAGUAGGUAAAGCAUAAGUGGCAUUAUGGGGGUCUCCAAACUUUUUUUCUUUUUGGGUCAGGUUUUGGGCCAUUAAGAUCUUAUUGUUGUAGUAGAGCCAUCUAAAAAGUUUCACCAUUUUCGGGACUUGCAAUUUCGAAAGGGUAUUACCAAGUGGAGAUUUGAACCCUCCAUGUAUGGGGAGAGACGAUAGCAGUUUCUUCUCAUAAACUUGGUGGU
rnacentral:lncRNA from 1 species